UGGGGAAUAUUGGACAAUGGGCGAAAGCCUGAUCCAGCCAUGCCGCGUGUGUGAAGAAGGUCUUCGGAUUUUAAAGCACUUUAAGUUGGGAGGAAGGGCAGUAAGCGAAUACCUUGCUGUUUUGACGUUACCGACAGAAUAAGCACCGGCUAACUCUGUGCCAGCAGCCGCGGUAAUACAGAGGGUGCAAGCGUUAAUCGGAAUUACUGGGCGUAAAGCGCGCGUAGGUGGUUCGUUAAGUUGAAUGUGAAAGCCCCGGGCUCAACCUGGGAACUGCCUCCAAAGCUGGCGAGCUAGAGUAGGGCAGAGGGUGGUGGAAUUUCCUGUGUAGCGGUGAAAUGCGUAGAUAUAGGAAGGAACACCAGUGGCGAAGGCGACCACCUGGGCUCAUACUGACACUGAGGUGCGAAAGCGUGGGGAGCAAACAGG
rnacentral:rRNA from 1 species